rnacentral:lncRNA from 1 species
AUGUCCUCAGCCCCUGCCAGCCCUGGGAGCGCCUCAUGGGGACACAGAUGCCACAAGCUGCCCUCUGCUGCACCAGCUCCUCUCACAGGGAUGAGCUGGCGGCGGCAGGCAUCUGUCCCCCUGCUCCCCUGGGGGCCGAGACUGACCCUGGUUGCUUCCAUCGGCUUCUCUUUGUUGCCACCCUCCCUGCCCUCUCUUUGGCCCUGCCUGGUGCGGGGGUUCCUAGGAAACCACACAGGCAGUGUAGUGGGCUCUGUGCCUGCCACGCCAGCCUGCAUCAGAGCACGAACACUGGAUCAGAGUGGGGCUGUUGGAGGCAGGAGGGAAAAAAUAAGAUCUCAGAUUGUCAGUGCCGGAGCCUUCCCAGGGCAGUCUCGCUUCCCAUGUUUGGAAUGUUGCUCGCCUUGGAAACCUAAGAUGUAAAAAGGGUGAAGCAGAGAGACGCAGGGUUGAGAGGAGCAGAGGAUUCAUCCAUUUUAGCUCUGAGACCCCAGGUAACCUCUGCAGAGCACAGUUUGAAAUGGCAGGUGUAACCAAGCUUCUCUGUUUUACUUAUAAGAAAAUUUUUGCCUCUGGAGACGGAAGACUAGCCCAGGAGACACACACUGACUUUGGCCCCAACCUUGCCUCUUCUGUCGGCCUCUGAUUCCCGACGCCUGUUUUCCCAGCCAUCCUUCCUCAUCCAAAAAAGACUUCGUGGAAGGCGGGGGCCCACAGGCCACCUACUGCCCACUCAGUCACAUCCUUCACCCCACCUGCCUCUCACCAGGCUGUUUCUAGCAUGAGUAAAUGUGCAUUUAGGUGGAGACCAUGGUCCAUUUGCUAAGGUACAUUUCUGUAAGUGACAAAUUCCAGAAUGGUGGUGCAUUAGUUACAACCAAUUAGCAGGAAAUUACCCCUGUAAAGUGCAUUCCCUGCGCUGGGACAGAAGCCAACGUGUAGCAUUCACCAACUCUUACCUCAUCGGGCUCAGUCGACAGUGAAGAGGUCUAAAUCCAAUUCAAUAAAAUAUUUGAUGCUGAGACGGAAGCUUUGGAACUAUAAAUUCUAGCUAGUGGGCCAGAAGGAGGUUCCUCCAUCCUUCCAAGCAUCAGUAGCCUCCCCUCUCCACUGUUACCGACAGCACUGGCAGCAGGAGACUCUUGGCAUUCUGAAGAUAUGCUGACUUGUGUUCAGGUNNNNGCUUUGCCACAUUUAAGCUGUGUGAUCUCAAAAUCAUCCGUUCUCUUAUGUAUAAAAUAGAGACAAUAGUACAUACCUUGCAGGAUUGUUGCAUUUUAAAUGUGAGGGGCUUCCCCGCUGGCUCAGUGGUAAAGAUCUACUUGCCAAGCAGGAGAUUUGAGUUUGAUCCCUGGGUCAGGAAAAUCCCCUGAAGUAGGAAAUGGCAACCCACUUCAGUAUUCUUGCCUGGGAA